CCCUGGCAACAUCCUGGUAAAUCGUUUCCGAACCCUUUCACGUUUCACAACAUCCUUCCGAUAGGAAGGAGACAGGAACGUAUGAGCGCAAUAUUCCGACGUCCUUUCCAUGCACCCAUUCGGGUUUCACGACAUCCUGCUGGCGGCUGGGUGGAGGGCAUGGGUUUUGGGAAGGUGCGUUGCUGCAGCGCCUCUCGUAGGAAGGGUACAGCCAAGGCGGAUGUGCGCGGCGCUGUGCGAAUGCACUGACUGAGUGUCGUUCUCUGGCAGGUUGACCUGUGGAGCACAGCCAAUAACCAAGUGAUUGCCGGUUACUACCAGGCUAAUGAGCACAUGAGGGAUCCCAGUCCAAAUGAUCUGGCGGUGAAGAUUGGAGACCGUGUGGCCGAACACCUGCCGGGAGCGGUGCUGAUCAUGCUGGAUAACACUAAGCUCUCCGGGGAUUACGCUGGGCCUGCAGUCAUUGUUUACGAACACCUGGAUGGUAACUGGACCCCCAAGGACAAGAACCUGUGAGUCAACUUCCAGCACAGUCUGCUCGG